rnacentral:tRNA from 2 species
GCCAGUGUAGCUCAAUGGCAGAGCAGCCGGCUUAUACCCGGUCUAGCGCCGGAUCAGCGCGAGGUUGUAGGUUCGAGUCCUACCACUGGUACCA